rnacentral:rRNA from 1 species
UACGUAGGGCGCAAGCGUUGUCCGGAAUUAUUGGGCGUAAAGAGCUCGUAGGCGGCUUGUCACGUCGGAUGUGAAAGCCCGGGGCUUAACUCCGGGUCUGCAUUCGAUACGGGCUAGCUAGAGUGUGGUAGGGGAGAUCGGAAUUCCCGGUGUAGCGGUGAAAUGUGUAGAGAUCGGGAGGAACACCGGUGGCGAAGGCGGGUCUCUGGGCAUCUCCUGACGCUGAGGCGCGAAAGCGUGGGGAGCAAACGGG